UCAGUAACACGUAGUCACCUAACUCGUGGACGUGGAUUAAUCUCGGGAAACUGAGGGAUAAACCACGAUAGAUAACGGUGCCUGGAAUGGCCCAUUGUCGAAAUAGUUUACUUGCCACGGGAUGGGACUGCGGCCUAUCAGCUUGUUGGUGAGGUAAUGGCCCACCAAGGCUAUAACAGGUACGGGCUCUGAGAGGAGAAGCCCGGAGAUGGGUACUGAGACACGGACCCAGGCCCUAUGGGGCGCAGCAGGCGGGAAACCUUAGCAAUGUGCGAAAGCGCGACUGGGUCAGUCCGAGUGAUUUCUGAUAAAGGAAUCUUUUGCCCGUCCUAAAAGCACGGGCGAAUAAGGGGUGGGCAAGU
rnacentral:rRNA from 1 species